GCCCGGAUGGCGGAACAGGUAGACGCAAGAGACUUAAAAUCUCUCGGCCCUCGCGGCUGUACGAGUUCGAUUCUCGUUCCGGGCACCA
rnacentral:tRNA from 1 species